GACUUUAUGAUGGUGUGAAAGCAAUAUGUAUUCAGUAGAAAGUGUACUUCAGAUUUUGAUCUUUUCCUGGGCUAGGAAUAUGCAGUAUAAUACCCUGAAGAUGCUGGGCAGUGGCAGCAAGCCACGUCAGCCACCUGAUCAGGAGGGUAAACAACUGACACAACUGUUGUUUUUCUCUUUCAGCAUAGUUGUCGAUAAAUUACAGGAGAUAGUCAAUACUAUAAUAAACAGGCUUUGUGUUACAUCAUUUUGCCCAACUGCAGGCUAAGAAACUGGUUAAAUAUGGACCCGAGGACAGUGAUUAUCUUUGGAGGAGGAGACCAGAGAAGAUUACUCUCAUUAUUCUGCUAAUGCCCGCGUGAAGUUCUGAGAUACCCACUCCAGAGACAUCCACUUCUUACGGUUUCCCUCAAGACUCCCACAGAAGGGUCAAGAAGACAGUCUUCCGAAGUACAAUAUCGUACUCCAAAAUAGCAGAUAACAGACUGCCUGAGAGUCAAAGGAGGAAAUGGAGCUAAUAUACACUUUUCUAAAUAUCACCUUCACUCUCUUUGGAGAAGAGGAAAAGAUUGGUUAUUCCUCAAACCUCGGAACCCAACUGAAUCGUGGUGAUAAUCUUCUUUACCUUAAGACACAGAAUGUUCAUUAUCGUUUAAGUGGACAACAAUGAAACGAACAGAUACACUGCCUCCAAACAUCACUGUUAAAUUCUUCUCCCCUAGUUUAAAAUUACAGAAAACCAUUUCAAAUUGUUUAAAAGUAAAUGGGCAUUCUUCAGUAUUCUU